UACAGAGGUCUCAAGCGUUGUUCGGAUUCAUUGGGCGUAAAGGGAGCGUAGGCGGCGUGGUAAGUCAGAUGUGAAAUCCCGGGGCUCAACCCCGGAACUGCAUCCGAUACUGCCAUGCUAGAGGAUUGGAGAGGGUAGCUGGAAUUCUUGGUGUAGCAGUGAAAUGCGUAGAGAUCAAGAGGAACACUCGUGGCGAAAGCGAGCUACUGGACAAUUCCUGACGCUGAGGCUCGAAGGCUAGGGUAGCGAAAGGG
rnacentral:rRNA from 1 species